AUUGAACGCUGGCGGAAUGCUUUACACAUGCAAGUCGAACGGUAGAGGGGGCAACCCCUCGAGAGUGGCGAAUGGGUGAGUAAUAUAUCGGAACGUGCCCAGUCGUGGGGGAUAACGUAGCGAAAGUUACGCUAAUACCGCAUACGAUCUAAGGAUGAAAGCGGGGGAUCGCAAGACCCCGCGCGAUUGGAGCGGCCGAUAUCAGAUUAGGUAGUUGGUGGGGUAAAGGCCCACCAAGCCAACGAUCUGUAGCUGGUCUGAGAGGACGACCAGCCACACUGGAACUGAGACACGGUCCAGACUCCUACGGGAGGCAGCAGUGGGGAAUUUUGGACAAUGGGCGAAAGCCUGAUCCAGCCAUUCCGCGUGCAGGAUGAAGGCCCUCGGGUUGUAAACUGCUUUUGUACAGAACGAAAAGGUUUCUACUAAUACUAGGAGCUCAUGACGGUACUGUAAGAAUAAGCACCGGCUAACUACGUGCCAGCAGCCGCGGUAA
rnacentral:rRNA from 1 species